rnacentral:lncRNA from 1 species
GCCUUUUCUUUUGUUCAUUGUGUUGAUGAUAGUGUUGUUUGUUUCAGGAUACACACUGGGGGAGAGCUUCUUCGGGCUGACUCCUUAACUGGUGAUGCUUUGUUGAAGCAACUUUGGCACCAUUCAGAUGCGAUCAUGUGCUGUUCCUUAAAAACAAAUGUAAUCCAUUUGACUAAUCACUUCAUGAUAAUUUUUCGAGAUAAAAAUAUGGGAUAUUCAAUAUUGUGCUAGAGACUGUUUAAGCAAAGCUAAACAUGAUUUGAAAAAUAUGUUGCAGGCAUCUCCUGUUUUCACCUUUGCAAAUCAGGCAGGAUUGGACAUGCUGGAAACUACCCUUGUGGCCCUUCAGGACAUCAUGCUUGACAAGAUUCUUGACGAGGCUGGAAGGAAGAUUCUCUGCACUGAGUUUGCUAAGAUCAUGCAACAGGUAAAGUUUUCAAUAUCUGGAGCCAACACUCAGUUCUAAGCAGAUCCAAACUGAACCACCUGACACCCGAGUUAAUAGCGUGAUGAAAUUUGAGGGUAGAUUUAAAAUUAACCAUUAACGAAUAUCAGAUAUUGUGUAAAAGAUAUUUAAUGUGCUAUUUUUCAACUGCAGGGAUUCGCUUACUUGCCAGGAGGGAUGUGUGUAUCCAGCAUGGGCAGGGCUGUGUCCUAUGAACAAGCAGUUGCGUGGAAGGUUCUGGAUGACGACGACUCC